rnacentral:misc_RNA from 1 species
AGAAAUCCUUCAUUAAAAUCUUCAGUUUUUUCUGCAGAUUUUAAUGAAGGAUUUCUGCAAUGCACCGUGUAGCAAGUGCAGGGAACACGUCCAAUUCGGUUCGGCCUAGGAAGGAGAAGAGGUUGACUUAUGUUUUGAAUGAUGCAGGUGACACUAAGCAUUGUGCAGGUGUAAAUUCUUUGGCUGUAUUGAAGUCACCAGCAACUGAUGGAUGUGAAUACCUAUUCACUGGGAGCAGAGAUGGCACAUUAAAGAGAUGGGCAUUGGCUGAAGAUGGUGCCACCUGCUCUGCCACAUUUGAGUCACAUGUCGAUUGGGUUAAUGAUGCAGUUCUUACAGGUAGUAACACAUUAGUAUCAUGCUCCUCAGACACCACUGUCAAGGUGUGGAAUGGCUUAUCUGAGGGAUAUUGUAUUAAGACACUCCGGCAGCACUCCGAUUACGUCACCACCCUUGCUUCAGCAGAAAAAAAUAGCAAUGUUAUUGCAUCUGCUGGUCUUGGUGGUGAGGUUUUCAUAUGGGAUCUUGAA